UACGUAGGGGGCAAGCGUUGUCCGGAAUUAUUGGGCGUAAAGAGCUCGUAGGCGGUUUGUCGCGUCUGCUGUGAAAACUCAGGGCUUAACUCUGAGCUUGCAGUGGGUACGGGCAGACUAGAGUGCGGUAGGGGAGACUGGAAUUCCUGGUGUAGCGGUGAAAUGCGCAGAUAUCAGGAGGAACACCGGUGGCGAAGGCGGGUCUCUGGGCCGAAACUGAACGCU
rnacentral:rRNA from 1 species